AUACUCACCACUUAUGAAUGUUGCUACGUUGCGCAACAGCUGCCAUCUAUUGUCGACAGACUCGAAAUUGUUUGUGGUUAUUUUCCUAAUAACACACAGUAAGAAGAUGCUGUCUUCUGUGUUGUUGCGUGGUGUAAACUACGCCUUUCGGUAGUUCAGACUAAUGAGAGCUUGAUAGUGUAUUUGAAAGGAUGGAAAAGGAAGCGGCCGUGGCCUAAUUUAAGUACGCCUACCGUGAAUUUUAAGAAAACCGCAGCAAAUAACGGAUAAUUUCACUACUAGAGUAUACUCAUAAAGUCUGCGUAAAAUACAGCCAAAGAUUUUUCAGUCUGCCAGAUGCCAUAGUUACGUCACUUAGAAACAGCUACAUAUUUCUGAAAAAAUCAAACAAAAAGACUGUUCAGUUUUAUAAAAUUAUUUCACUGGCUGAAUAGCGGGGUUCAUUAAUAAGUUGAAAUCUGCAAGGAACAUAUGUGUGUAUUCCGGUACAUAUUUCAAGUCUUGCAAAUUUACAUUAUUCCGUACGCAGAUGUACCAAGGAAAAUCUAAAAACAUCCGAUACAUCACACAAUCCUCGUACCUCAAACACAACGUCUGACGCUGACUUUGUCAAUAAAGAUAGUGUCUUCGGAAAACAAAUAAUUCGU